AUUUUAUCAACAUUUCAUUCCUUUGUAGAAGCGAUAUCUGGACAUUAUUAACUAAUGAAUAAGCUGUAACUACUACUAGUAGUUCCUACAUAUUAGAUACAAAAUCCGUCUAAAUUGGCAAAACUUUUUAAAAAAAAAGACCAAGUCUGUAUUGCAUCUAUUUCUCUAUUUCUCAAUUGCCUUCUUGUAUUUUUCGUUAGCUGUGUAAAAUGCAGUGGCGCUUGUUUAAUUUACGAGAUAGAAUUCUGUGCUAAAUUAGUUCAAAAUGAAUAAAUACGGUUAAUGACAAAGAAUUAUACGAUAUAGACUUAUUUAACAACUGGGAAAUUCCUGUUGAACAUAUAUGCUUGCAAUAUUAAAAUUCAAAACAAUCGUAUACCACGAAUUGAUGCCACCAAGGUCUGUUUCAUUGAAAGAUGGAAUGUAAAACGUAGUUCGAAAAAGUUGCAUAUUUCAUCACAAGUGCUUACCAGC